GCCGCAUAUUAAUGUGCGCUCUGUAGACAUCCUCCCCCUUUUUACAUGAGUGGCACAGGAGCGAAGCCCUCGACAGAGCAGCCACCGUGGGAGCAGAAGCCCGCAAGAUUUCCACAUGAAGCCACUAUGGAAAUAUUCAAUUCCUUUCUAAGAAAUUCACAAUUUAAGGUCCUGUCAGCAGCUCUGGUGUCUUUUGUUAGGCGCACUUAAAAUGCCAGAUUAAAUAUUAAUAUGUGGUUAGAGUGUGCUAUUUUGCAAGCCCUGAAACCCUAUUAGUAAAUCAUGAUCUGGUGACUGAUGCAAGAAAUUUCAAGGCACCAAGAGUGCAGAUUGCCCAUCAGUCUGAUGGAUCACUAAUUUUUAGUAAAUCAGGCCCUUGGACUUUUAGCUGUAAGCACAUGUAUGUUUCAUUGUGACGGGAAAAGCAGUCCAACUAACAGUAAUUUUCUGCACUGAAUGUGUACUGUAACAGGCAGAAUUGUUUUGCAUAAUGGCCAGAUUGUUUGAAUACAAGUGUUCAUUUAGAAGGUUGUGCAUGAGAUGCCAUUCUUGAAAAAAAAAAAAAAAAAAAAAAAAAAAA